UACGUAGGGGGCAAGCGUUGCUCGGAAUCACUGGGCGUAAAGGGUGCGUAGGCGGGUCUUUAAGUCAGGGGUGAAAUCCUGGAGCUCAACUCCAGAACUGCCUUUGAUACUGAAGAUCUUGAGUUCGGGAGAGGUGAGUGGAACUGCGAGUGUAGAGGUGAAAUUCGUAGAUAUUCGCAAGAACACCAGUGGCGAAGGCGGCUCACUGGCCCGAUACUGACGCUGAGGCACGAAAGCGUGGGGAGCAAACAGG
rnacentral:rRNA from 1 species